rnacentral:rRNA from 1 species
UACGAAGGGGGCUAGCGGUGUUCGGGAUCACUGGGCGUAAAGCGCACGUAGGCGGAUUUGUCAGUCAGGGGUGAAAUCCCGAGGCUCAACCUCGGAACUGCCUUUGAUACAGCAAAUCUCGAGUCCGGAAGAGGUGGGUGGAAUUCCUAGUGUAGAGGUGAAAUUCGUAGAUAUUAGGAAGAACACCAGUGGCGAAGGCGGCCCACUGGUCCGGUACUGACGCUGAGGUGCGAAAGCGUGGGGAGCAAACAGG